GAUGAUGCUGUCCCCAGGCAGCUGCCAUCAGUCCUUUCUGAGGAAAUGACAAGAACCGCAGAAGGAAGGAAGAGGCCUCCCCACUGCCCUUUGCCUGGAUCUGUGGGGCAUUCUGCCCACCAGGGGCAGAGCCACAGAUGGUCUGGAUAGAUACGUCCCAUCCUCUGGGAGCCCCUGAAUACAGCCUUGCCUGGAGUCCACCACAGAACACUCACUACACAAGGGACAGCGAGCUCACACUGAUGCUUGAGCCAGGUGUUAAUCUACUCAUGGUCUGGGAGCUACCCGGAAAUGAAGAUGGAUACACAUAGAGAGAGAAUGAAUAUCUAGAGAGACAAAGGCCAGACCACAUUUGAGAACACAAUUCUGACAUACAGCAACAAGCCCACUAGGUGGGGUCUUGGUCAGUGACCUCCAGUUUCUCCUUUUUUGUUUUUUGCCCCCCCUAAGCCCAUAAUCUCCGACCAGAACCUUCCCGUUUUUCACGUAAAUCGUACCCUCCUUCCUUACCAUGCCUAACAAACGUAAGAUAUGGGGGCUGAACCCCUUGCUACAAGGGCCCUGGCGGUCUGCGUCUGGGUGGAUUCAUUUCCGUAACACACAUUACCUGAGCAAUGCUCGAAAACACCGUUCACGAAAACUGAAAUAUUCCCACAGAGGCAUUAAAAAUCACAUUGAAU